UACGUAGGCAGCAAGCGUUGUUCGGAAUUACUGGCGUAAAGCGUGCGCAGGCGGCUUUGCAAGACAGAUGUGAAAUCCCCGGGCUCAACCUGGGAACUGCAUUUGUGACUGCAUGGCUGGAGUGCGGCAGAGGGGGAUGGAAUUCCGCGUGUAGCAGUGAAAUGCGUAGAUAUGCGGAGGAACACCGAUGGCGAAGGCAAUCCCCUGGGCCUGCACCGACGCUCAUGCACGAAAGCGUGGGGAGCAAACAGG
rnacentral:rRNA from 1 species